GAGACUGUGGCUUAGUGGUAGAGUGCUCGCCUAGCAUGUGUGAGGCACUGGGUUCGAUCCUCAGCAUUACG
rnacentral:tRNA from 1 species